CAAGGUCUUUUCGUGUUCCUUCGUUAUCCAACCCCGAGGGAGCUUUUUCAUUCCGUCUGACAAAAUGCAUCCAUGAAAAUCCGAGCCAAAUAUGCCGCUGCAUGCAGCUCAGAGCCCGAAGCACCCAAUAAUAAUGCGCUUGGAUCCUCCUGCGGCGUUCGAGGCGUGUCUUCCGUCAUUGUCACUGAUGCCAUAGUCAGCCGGAAAGCACGCAGGCAAAGACGUUUGCUGCGUUUUCUAUAACGUUCUGUUGCUACCAAGCGAGGAAUUCGCUUCUUUACAACGAACAUCGCAGCCAGGUACAGGCAGUGCCUACGAGCCAUGGCGCUGUCUAUGAUAGGUUUGAAGAAUGACCCGUCCUUUGGGCUGGACUCUAGACGCAGUUGGGUGACUGCGACAUUUCUAUGCCUGUCAUUGAAAACGAUGCUGAUUGGGCAACAUUCGGUUGGCGUACUCUUCUACGGGAUCGUUCGCAUGUACGGUAUCAGCAGGAAGGACGCAUCAUGGCCACUCGUACUGAGCCAGAGUCUGUCUCUCUUGGGAGGUCCGGUGGCGGGAUAUCUCUGCACCCGUUUUUCUUGUCGAGUGGUGUUGCUCGCGUCUACGUUCGCAGGAGGCGCUGCCGUCUCCGCCUGCUUCUUCGCUGACAGCAUCCUCUACUUAAAU
rnacentral:lncRNA from 1 species